CCUACGGGUGGCUGCAGUGGGGGAUAUUGCACAAUGGGGGGAACCCUGAUGCAGCGACGCCGCGUGGGUGAAGGAGUGCUUCGGCAUGUAAAGCCCUAUCGGCAGGGAAGAAGCAAGACGGUACCUGACUAAGAAGCAUCGGCUAACUACGUGCCAGCAGCCGCGGUAAUACGCAGGGGGCGAGCGUUAUCCGGAUUCACUGGGUGUAAAGGGAGCGUAGACGGUCAAGGAAGCCAGGGGUGAAAGUCCGGGGCGCAACCCCGGGACUGCCGUUGGAACUGCAAGGCUGGAGUGCGGGAGGGGCAGGCGGAAUUCCUGGUGUAGCGGUGAAAUGCGUAGAUAUCAGGAGGAACACCGGCGGCGAAGGCAGCCUGCUGGACCACGACUGACGUUGAGGCACGAAAGCGUGGGGAGCGAACAGGAUUAGAUACCCUAGUAGUC
rnacentral:rRNA from 1 species